ACGUCGAAUAGCAACUCUGAUCGUUUACGAGUAAACUGUGAAAUGAUUUUGUGAGUUGAACAGUGGCCGGCGUUCAAUUAAAUAUUUCAUUCGAAAAUCCAUAUUACAGUGACGACUAUGGCAGAUCAAGCGGCUCGAGAAUCCCUCGAGUGCCACGGGUUGGCUCGUAUUCAGGGAAAUCUUGGAAAUGCAGGAGUAAAAUUUGAAGAUUUCUGGUACUUUAAAGCAAACAUCGGGGAGCUCCAAUGUAUAUUGCCAGACUUGAGGGACAGGAUGGAUUUCCUUCGAUGUUUAAAGUACAUCGUAGCAGACAAAGAGUGCCAAACCAAUUUACCAGCGCCGAUUUGCGCACAUGAAAGUUUGCUAAGCAUUUGUGAGCGAUCAGAAUCAGGACGUAAAUUCCUUGACAUUGUCAACAAUAACAAUGAAAGUAAUAUCUGUACACCGGAAUGCCGGAAAUAUAUUAAAGAUGCUGUUGUUGAAUAUUUCCUCGUUUUGAAAAAUGGAAAAAUUUUCGCUUCGGAUUUCACUCAAAUGGCACAAAUUAUAUGCAAUCAAUUGCCGAGGGAAGAUCCUCGCACUUGGUACACUCCAAGAACUCAAAACCAAGCAGCCGGAGGGCUACUUUACACUCGGUACAAAUAUGUUCAACAACACGAUACAAGAUUCAAGAAAAGCGUGAAACAUCCAUCAGCAGCGGCUCCAGUAAUCGAACAACAGACUGGAAACACAACACAAUUUCAGGAUCACUGGAACCUCUUAAGUGUGGAUGAACGUGAUCAAUGCCUAGCUGCCAAGAUCAAAUUGAAUACAGUCGGUUUUACCUAAAAGGAAGAAAUAAUGAACUUAUGGAAUACGAGCUACCCUCUUCGACGUUUCCAGUCCGUCACAGGAAAAUUAGCGUUCGAAGAAUGGGAUGUCUUAACUCACUAUGCAGAUGUGCACGAAUUAAUAACUGUGGACUUCAAACGAAUUCAUCUCAAUUAUGUUAGCAUUGAGGACCGAGCUCUUGCUUUCGUUCAUCGAUUCAAUAAAGUAUUCGUGGAUUAUAAGAGAUUUAUUGUAGAAGACUCGGAGCUAUUAAAUAGUUUGACUUGGAUUUUUGGAGAAAAUUUUCAACUUACAGAGACGUCCAUGUUUCUAUCGUUUUACGCAUUACCCUUAAUAAUCCGUCAGCAUUUUAUCAAAAAAGGAAGGAAACGCACAAAGCCAUCACUUUUUCAAAGUAGACAGGCCUUUAUUUCUAUACUGGCGACAGAGGCCACGUUAGAGGAGACCAUUGCUUCGCGACGACUUGAAGCUCGAAAUAUGGGAAAAAAUGUACAGCCAUUCAUAGUGCCGAAAGGGCACGAUGCCAAGCAUUAGAAAAAAAAUUGUCGUAAUUCUGGAUAGCAUUAAGUUUAUAUGUAACAAUAUUAUAUCUGCCAUUGACCUUUUGUUCAAGUUUCAUUCAGUCUUUCAUCUGCAAUACGCAGAAGAAUGCGAAAAUGUAUUGAAGUUUAUACAGUUUCAUUUUUAUAAGAUAUCAUAUAGUGGAGAUCGUUUCGAUUCAACAACAACAGCUUUAAUAGCUGAUUUAGAACGCUGAUGAUAGUUUUUAUAUAUUGUUAACCUAUGUAGCUCGUCGAAAACUUAGU